UACGAGGGGGGCAAGCGUUGUUCGGAAUUAUUGGGCGUAAAGGGCGCGUAGGCGGUGCGGUAAGUCACCUGUGAAAACUCUGGGCUCAACUCAGAGCCUGCAGGCGAAACUGCCGUGCUUGAGUGUGGGAGAGGUGCGUGGAAUUCCCGGUGUAGCGGUGAAAUGCGUAGAUAUCAGGAAGAACACCCGUGGCUAAGGCGGCUCUCUAGUACGGUACUGACGCUGAGACGCGAAAGCGUGGGGAGCAAACAGG
rnacentral:rRNA from 1 species